rnacentral:rRNA from 1 species
GAUGAACGCUGGCGGCGUGCCUAAUACAUGCAAGUCGAGCGAACGGACGAGAAGCUUGCUUCUCUGAUGUUAGCGGCGGACGGGUGAGUAACACGUGGAUAACCUACCUAUAAGACUGGGAUAACUUCGGGAAACCGGAGCUAAUACCGGAUAAUAUUUUGAACCGCAUGGUUCAAAAGUGAAAGACGGUCUUGCUGUCACUUAUAGAUGGAUCCGCGCUGCAUUAGCUAGUUGGUAAGGUAACGGCUUACCAAGGCAACGAUGCAUAGCCGACCUGAGAGGGUGAUCGGCCACACUGGAACUGAGACACGGUCCAGACUCCUACGGGAGGCAGCAGUAGGGAAUCUUCCGCAAUGGGCGAAAGCCUGACGGAGCAACGCCGCGUGAGUGAUGAAGGUCUUCGGAUCGUAAAACUCUGUUAUUAGGGAAGAACAUAUGUGUAAGUAACUGUGCACAUCUUGACGGUACCUAAUCAGAAAGCCACGGCUAACUACGUGCCAGCAGCCGCGGUAAUACGUAGGUGGCAAGCGUUAUCCGGAAUUAUUGGGCGUAAAGCGCGCGUAGGCGGUUUUUUAAGUCUGAUGUGAAAGCCCACGGCUCAACCGUGGAGGGUCAUUGGAAACUGGAAAACUUGAGUGCAGAAGAGGAAAGUGGAAUUCCAUGUGUAGCGGUGAAAUGCGCAGAGAUAUGGAGGAACACCAGUGGCGAAGGCGACUUUCUGGUCUGUAACUGACGCUGAUGUGCGGAAGCGUGGGGAUCAAACAGGAUUAGAUACCCUGGUAGUCCACGCCGUAAACGAUGAGUGCUAAGUGUUAGGGGGUUUCCGCCCCUUAGUGCUGCAGCUAACGCAUUAAGCACUCCGCCUGGGGAGUACGACCGCAAGGUUGAAACUCAAAGGAAUUGACGGGGACCCGCACAAGCGGUGGAGCAUGUGGUUUAAUUCGAAGCAACGCGAAGAACCUUACCAAAUCUUGACAUCCUUUGACAACUCUAGAGAUAGAGCUUUCCCCUUCGGGGGACAAAGUGACAGGUGGUGCAUGGUUGUCGUCAGCUCGUGUCGUGAGAUGUUGGGUUAAGUCCCGCAACGAGCGCAGCCCUUAAGCUUAGUUGCCAUCACUAAGUUGGGCACUCUAAGUUGACUGCCGGUGACAAACCGGAGGAAGGUGGGGAUGACGUCAAAUCAUCAUGCCCCUUAUGAUUUGGGCUACACACGUGCUACAAUGGACAAUACAAAGGGCAGCGAAACCGCGAGGUCAAGCAAAUCCCAUAAAGUUGUUCUCAGUUCGGAUUGUAGUCUGCAACUCGACUACAUGAAGCUGGAAUCGCUAGUAAUCGUAGAUCAGCAUGCUACGGUGAAUACGUUCCCGGGUCU